UAAAAGAUUAUGUUAAAAAGUCACUGUGGUGAAUGGAUCUGUAACAGCAUUGAUAAAAUUUGAUUCUGCAGAAAUGAACUUGGAAAAUCCCUAAGUAUUAUGAUUUGAAUCUGAAAUGUCUCCCAAAAGUUCCUGGGUGAAAGGCUCUGUCCUCUAAGCAGCAAUAUUCUGAGGAGGGGCUUUGGAAGAUGAGUGGGUCCUGAGGCUCUCACCCCAUCACUGGAUUAACCCACUGCUCUGUCCGCUGCUUACCCGACUGCACAGAGGUCGGGGAGGCUCUCGGGUGGAACUCCAUAGGGGAAGUAGUAGGUUCCACAGUGCCAGAAGGGUGUGCUUCGUCCCUGGCCUUUUUCCUCUCUGGUUCUCUUUCUCUAUCUUUCCAUUUUCUGGAGGCCAUAAGACAAACGGCUUUGCUUCACCAGAGCUCUCUGCCAUGGUGUUUGACAUCACAGGCCCAGAAACAAUGGGGCAAGGUGACUGUGGAGUGAAACUGUUAACCUAAAUAAGUUUUUCUCUGUAAGUUGAUUUUCGCAUUAUUUUGUCACAGCAAAAGAAACCUAAAGCUCCAGACCUCACAAUUUUCCUUUCUUCAUAAGGUAAAGAGAAGAAUGUGUUCUGCAUAUUAUAAAUUCCUAGUGAUUUGGCAUCUUUCUUACUUUUUUUGUUAUCCUGUUUUUUGUUUGUUUUUUUUUUUUGCUGUCUCUGUACAAUUAAAGUUUGCUUUGGAGCUCUCCAAGAGAAAGAAUUCCCACAAAUCUGGGGAAGACACAUUUGAGAAGAGCUGUGAAAAAGAUGAAGCUCUGAAAUAUCUUGUAAUCCAAGGUCAAUUCAAAGAUGCCAAGGAAGGAGGAAGAGAAGCAGGGAGAUGCAUACGGACCUGCCUUUACCCUCACCCCAUGCCUGGCAUUCACGAUCCCCUCUCUGUAGGUGUAUGACUCUCCUAGCUAAAAUGUACAAUGCAGUUCAUUACUCAAAUUAAUGUGCAUUACAAUAAAGAGCUCUUCAGACCUG
rnacentral:lncRNA from 1 species